rnacentral:rRNA from 1 species
UAGGGAAUCUUCGGCAAUGGACGAAAGUCUGACCGAGCAACGCCGCGGGAGUGAAGAAGGUUUUCGGAUCGUAAAACUCUGUUGUUAGAGAAGAACAAGGACGUUAGUAACUGAACGUCCCCUGACGGUAUCUAACCAGAAAGCCACGGCUAACUACGUGCCAGCAGCCGCGGUAAUACGUAGGUGGCAAGCGCUGUCCGGAUUGAUUGGGCGUAAAGCGAGCGCAGGCGGUUUCUUAAGUCUGAUGUGAAAGCCCCCGGCUCAACCGGGGAGGGUCAUUGGAAACUGGGAGACUUGAGUGCAGAAGAGGAGAGUGGAAUUCCAUGUGUAGCGGUGAAAUGCGUAGAUAUAUGGGGGAACACCAGUGGCGAAGGCGGCUCUCUGGUCUGUAUCUGACGCUGAGGCUCGAAAGCGUGGGGAGCAAACAGG